rnacentral:lncRNA from 1 species
CAUCCAUCAUCCCUUUACAAGGUCCCACAACCCACUAACCAUACAGAACCAGAAACCAGAAGUAAACUAAAAGCAUAACCAAACAGAGCCCUCCACUACCAAGUAACAGAAGAAAAAAAAGAAAGAGAAAAGAAAGGUGCUGCUGCUGCUGCUGCUUCCAUCAUUGUCCACCCACAACCUAAAGCAUAUCUCUAUUAUAUCAACUAGCAAGCUUUGACAAAUUCUCUUUUCUCCCCUAGGAAGGACACCCUGCUUGCAAUUUGUUUAGUCCUUUGACAUCAAACCCUGUUUUCAUA